rnacentral:rRNA from 1 species
UGGGGAAUAUUGGACAAUGGGGGCAACCCUGAUCCAGCAAUGCCGCGUGUGUGAAGAAGGUCUUCGGAUUGUAAAGCACUUUCGACGGGGACGAUGAUGACGGUACCCGUAGAAGAAGCCCCGGCUAACUUCGUGCCAGCAGCCGCGGUAAUACGAAGGGGGCUAGCGUUGCUCGGAAUGACUGGGCGUAAAGGGCGUGUAGGCGGUUUACACAGUCAGAUGUGAAAUCCCCGGGCUUAACCUGGGAGCUGCAUUUGAUACGUGUAGACUAGAGUGUGAGAGAGGGUUGUGGAAUUCCCAGUGUAGAGGUGAAAUUCGUAGAUAUCGGGAAGAACACCGGUGGCGAAGGCGGCAACCUGGCUCAUGACUGACGCUGAGGCGCGAAAGCGUGGGGAGCAAACAGGUUAGAUACCCUGGUAGUCCACGCUGUAAACGAUGUGUGCUAGAUGUUGGGUAACUUUGUUAUUCAGUGUCGCAGUUAACGCGUUAAGCACACCGCCUGGGGAGUA